rnacentral:rRNA from 1 species
GAUGAACGCUGGCGGCGUGCCUAAUACAUGCAAGUCGAGCGAACGGACGAGAAGCUUGCUUUUCUGAUGUUAGCGGCGGACGGGAGAGUAACACGUGGAUAACCUACCUAUAAGACUGCGAUAACUUCGGGAAACCGGAGCUAAUACCGGAUAAUAUUUUGAACCGCAUGGUUCAAAAGUGAAAGACGGUCUUGCUGUCACUUAUAGAUGGAUCCGCGCUGCAUUAGCUAGUUGGUAAGGUAACGGCUUACCAAGGCAACGAUGCAUAGCCGACCUGAGAGGGUGAUCGGCCACACUGGAAGUGAGACACGGUCCAGACUCCGACGGGAGGCAGCAGUAGGGAAUCGUCCGCGAUGGGCGAAAGCCUGACGGAGCAACGCCGCGUGAGUGAUGAAGGUCUUCGGAUCGUAUAACUCUGUUAGUAGGGAAGAACAUAUGUGUAAGUAACUGUGCACAUCUUGACGGUACCUAAUCAGAAAGCCACGGCUAACUACGUG